CUGGAGAUGCCACUGCCAGGCAGAAGCUGCUAAUUCUCACCACAGAUAAUACUAUGAGUCAUGAAUGUGAUGACAUCAUGAACCUCCUGGACAGUGGCAAUCAUCAGCCCCCCAAGUGUGAGUGCCAGUGCCUUUCUUGGAGCUGAAAGCCUUUCAUGGUGGGCGUUUCAUGAAGACCACCCCACAGGUCCCCAGACACAGUUUGUGGGCCUCAUUUCGUCCUUCCCAAGGUUCCAGGAUUUUCCAAUGCCUAUUAAAUCUUCUGUAACAAUCCAUUCAAAUACACAAGUUUGGCUAUUCAAAUUACUUUUUCCAAAAGUACUUUAAAAUGCAUUAAGUUAUUAAUUGCCUGCUGGCACUUUAAUCAAAUGGGAAAAUUGACAUAGCCAGAGGCAUGUAUUUUUGUGGAAAGAAAAUUUAUUUAAGAAGAAACAGCAGCUCUUACUGCUUAAUUUAAACUGAGAAAACUGUGGAAAAUCAACUGCUAUGGAAAAUUAAUAAAACAUUUCCAGCUGCAAACAGUGACUAAUUGUACAAGAGGAAGACUGCCCGGAAUUAAUAACUUGCAGUCUUCUGUGUGAAGAACCCCCCACCACUUCAAUUUACUGGGAGAUUAAAUUACUUCUAAGUUUGCCAUAUUAAAACAGA
rnacentral:lncRNA from 1 species